GACAGGCAGCCCGGCGCCAGGCCUGAAACCAGGCCUGGGCCUGCCUGGCCUAAACCCAGUAGUUAAAAAUCAACUCAUAACUUAGAAACUGAUGUUAUUCAUAGAUUCCAGACAUUGUAUAGAAGAACAUUGUGAAACUCCCUGUCCUGUUCUGUUUCUCUCUGACCACCGGUACAUGCAGCCCCUGUCAUGUACCGCCUGCUUGCUCAAAUCAAUCACGACCCUUUCAUGUGAAAUCUUUAGUGUUAUGAGCCCUUAAAAGGGACAGAAAUUGUGCAUUCGGGGAGCUUGGAUUUUAAGGCAGUACCUUGCCAAUGCUCCCAGCUGAAUAAAGCCCUUCCUUCUACAACUAGGUGUCUGAGAGGUUUUGUCUGCGACUCGUCCUGCUACAUUUCUUGGUUCCCUGACCAGGAAGCGAGGUGACUGACGGACGGCCGAGGCAGCCCCUUAGGUGGCUUAAGCCUGCCCUGUGGAGCAUCCCUGAGGGGGACUCUGGCCAGCCUGAGUGAUGUGGUCCGAAGAGCGCUUGGGUAGGAAAUUGCCCCUGUGGAAUGCCUCGUCAGAGCAGCGCAUAGCAGGCCCCCACGGAGGAUUAACACAGUGGCUGAACACUGGGAAGGAACUGGCCCUUGGAGUCCAGACAUCUGAAACUUGAUGCAGAAAGCAAUAUUUAACUGAUCAGCUGCCACUCACAUCAUGAAUCAGAAGCAGCCUUAAAAGAAAGGAUCCCUUCUUGCUAUUUUGAAGGGAAAUAACUGAGUCCUUUGGAGCUGAAAAUGAAAAACUGAGUAGCUGGUGGAAGAAGCGAGAUGGGUUUGGAACUCACAGGCUAUGUUUCUGGAUGCAUCACAUUUGCAAGAGGGAAGUUUUGGUGUCCCUGUGGGUAUAUUAGCACUCCUUUACUCCAUUUCUCUGUAGCUACUCAAGCAAGUGACAAGUAAGUAUGUUGAGACCACAUGUGACAUAUAAAUUACAAGUUCUCCUGCCCCUCUAAAAGUUUAUUCAGCAUCAACCUUUGCACCAACACACUAAGGCAUAAUAGCUGAUAAUUUAUGAGUGUAAUUUGAAGGAAGCAAUUCUGUUUUGUGAUUAUGGUAGUAAAUAAAAGAUUCAAAUCCUCAUUGACACACCAUGAAAUUCAGCUUUACUUUUUUUUUUUUAACCUUGAUAUUGUUUAUGGAAAGAAGGCUGCAGAGUCCAAGAAAGGUGACAGAUAUGAAGAAAUGCAGUGGUUGCAAAGGACAAAGACAAUGGCAACACAAAUAAAAGAAAUUAUGAGAAGGAAAUAAAUAUUAAAAAAAAAACCCAAACGUUUGUUGAUGUAAACUGAAAAUAAAUUUGGAAUGAGCUGUGUGCACUUGGAAAUGAGAAGCUCUGUCCUGCACCAUGAAGGGCUUUGUGUGCAUCCAUGGGUUGCUUCUGCAUGCAGAAUGAGACUGGAACAAAAAAGAACCAUUUAAAACACAGGAUCCAGGGAAUUUUCAGAACCUUGCCAUGUGGGUCUCUCCAUAUGGCUGCUUAAGCAUCCUCAUGACACGUCAGCUGGUCUCCCCAGUGGGAGUGAUCGAAGAGACAGAAGCAAGAAUGUCUUCAAUGACCUACCCUUGUAAGUCACAUACCUCACUUUCACCUAAUCCUCAAAAGGAGAGAGUUAGACUCCACCUUUUGGAGGCAAGAAUGUCAAAGAAUUUGUGGACAUAUUUCAAAACCAUCACUGGAUCAUAUAUGUGAAAAUAAACACUUACAAAAAAUAAAGUGCUAUAAAUGGGAUACAUUCAGAUAAGGAACCCUUCUUUCAAUGCCAUCCCAGAAUUCCCUCAGCUUAAUUCUCCCAGAAGCUUCAAGACCUUCUAAAAUUGUUUGGGCUUGGUCUUUAUAGUCUGGAGGCACCAAAAGCCUGAGAUUUGUAUAGAUUAAGGAAGAAUCAGAAUCUAAGAGACAUUAAAUGACUAGCCAAAGAUCACACUGCUAGUUGGUGGAAGUCCGAGGAGUUUGUCCUAAGUGUGCCUAACUUCAAAUCCCCUCAUCUUAAUCAUUGUGUCACAUCAUGUCAUAAAAAUGGAUGAAAGAAGAAAGAAGACACAAACACCCAGUAUUAUUUUAGGACAAUUUCAUGGCAUUAAGUGUGGAUUUUCGUUUUAGCUAACAUUUUCAUGAAGGAAAAUCUUUGAGGAUGUUCUCUCCAUUAAAAAAAGAAGGAAAAAAACUCAAGAUAAUUAUAGAUUUACAUGCAGUUGUAAAAGUUAGUAAUGUAAAGAGAAGGCUUGUACACUUUGCCUAAUUUCCCCAGUGGUAACUUUUUUAGAGCUAUAGUAUGAUAUCACAACCAGGAUAUUGACAUCAGUCAAUCCACUGAUCUUAUUCAGUUUUCCUAAGUUUACUCUUUAAUGUGUGUGUGAAGUUCUACACAAUUUUAUUACUCGUAUAAGUUCGUGUAUCAUCACCCUGGUUAAAAUACUGAGGGGUUCCAGUGCCACAAGGAUCCCUCCUAUUCUUUUUGAGCCACACCCAUUCCCCUUCUUCCCCAAUUUCUCCACCUCCCUUUCUAACUAUCUGCCACUAGUCUGUCCUCCAUUUCUAAAAUUUUGUCAUUUCAAAAAUUUAAUAUAAGUGGAAUUAUGUAGUAUACAACAAUUUGGAGUUUUGUUUUUGCUCAACAUGAUUUCCUAAAGAUUCAUUCAAGUAGUUCUGUAUAUCGAUAGUGUAUUUCUUUUUAUUGCUGAGUAGUAUUACAAUUUUGUUUAACCAUUCAACUCUUUUUUGUUAGUUUCUUUUUGUUUUUGAGAUGGAGUCUGUUGCCCAGGCUGGAAUGCAGCAGCGCGAUCUCUGCUCACAGCAACCUCUGCCUCCUGUGUUCAAGCUAUUCUCCAGCCUCAGCCUCCUGAGUAGCUGAGAUUACAGGCGUGAGCCACAGCGCCCACCCUAGCCAUUCAACUCUGAAGCACAUCUGGGUUGAUACCAGUUUUGGGCUGUUACAAUAAAACUUCUAUGAACAUUCACGCACAAAUUUUUGUGGGAACAUACGUUUUCAUUUCUCUAGGAUAGAUGUACAGGAAUAAAAUUCUGGGUCAUAUGGUAGUUGCAUGUUUAAAUAUUUAAGAAACUGCUAAACUGCUUUCCAGAGUGUCUGUACCAUUUCACAGUCCUAAAAGCGAUGUAUGAAUGAUCCAGUUUCACCAUUUCCUCAUCAGCAUUUGGUGUUGUAAUUCUCAUUUUAAUAAUGCUUAUAGAUGUGUGGUGAUAUCUCAUUAUGGUGUUCAUUUGUAUUUCUCUAAUGACCAAUAAAUAUUUAACAUAUUUCCAUGUGCCUGCUUUUUUGCCAUUUUAUAUCCUCUUUGGUCUAUAAUGCCUUUUGUCCAUUUUCUAAUUAAAUAUUUAUGUAUUGUUGAGUUUUCAGAGUUCUUUAUAUAUUCUAGAUAUUAUUCCUUUGUCAGCUAUGUGGUUUUAAAAUAUUUAUUUCUAUCUUGUAGCUUGUAAUUUCAUUUUCCUCACGUGGACUUUCACAAAGCAAGUGUUUUUAUUUUUGAUAAAAUCAGAUUUGUCAAGUUUUCCUUCUGUGGAUCAUGAUUUUGUUGUCAAGUCCAAUAACUGUCUGCCUAGCUCCAGAUCCCAAAGUUUGCUCCUGUG
rnacentral:lncRNA from 1 species